rnacentral:rRNA from 1 species
UACGGAGGGUGCGAGCGUUGUCCGGAAUCACUGGGCGUAAAGGGCGCGUAGGCGGCCUGAUAAGUAGGGGGUGAAAUCCUGCGGCUUAACCGCAGGGCUGCCUUCUAAACUGUCAGGCUAGAGCACGGUAGAGGCAGAUGGAAUUCCCGGUGUAGCGGUGGAAUGCGUAGAGAUCGGGAAGAACAUCAGUGGCGAAGGCGGUCUGCUGGGCUAUGGCUGACACUGAGGCGCGACAGCGUGGGGAGCAAACAGG